rnacentral:rRNA from 1 species
UACGUAGGGUGCAAGCGUUGUCCGGAAUUAUUGGGCGUAAAGAGCUCGUAGGCGGCUUGUCGCGUCAACUGUGAAAACCCGUGGCUCAACCAUGUGGUCUGCAGUCGAUACGGGCAGGCUAGAAUUCGGUAGGGGAGACUGGAAUUCCUGGUGUAGCGGUGAAAUGCGCAGAUAUCAGGAGGAACACCGGUGGCGAAGGCGGGUCUCUGGGCCGAUAUUGACGCUGAGGAGCGAAAGCGUGGGGAGCGAACGGG